AGCCUACACCUAGCCCCGCCCCCAUCCCACACUCAACCAAGCUAAACCAAAACAUUUACAACACCUAGUAUUGGCGAAAGAAAAGACAGCAGGCGCAACAGAGAAAGUACCGCAAGGGAAAGCUGAAAUAACAGUGAAACAACAAAAGCACUACACAGCAAGGAUUAACCCCCCUACCUCUUGCAUUAUGGUUUAGCAAACCACAAGUGGCAAAAAGAAUUCAAGUCACACUACCCGAAACCGAGUGAGCUACUAACCAGCAGCUAAACCUGAGCAAACCCCCCUCUGUGGCAAAAGAGCGGGAAGACUGUUUAGUAGAGGUGAAAAGCCUACCGAACCCGGUGAUAGCUGGCUGCUUGGAAAACGAAUAUUAGUUCUAUUGAAAGCACUCCUAACCACCACAACAAAGAAGAAAGGAAAAGCUUUCAAACUGCUUAAUAGAGGCACAGCUCUAUUAACACAGGACUCAACCUUCACUUAAGGGUAACCUAACAUCACUACCACACCGUGGGCCUUAAAGCAGCCACCACAAAAAAGCGUUAAAGCUUCCCCAUUAAAAAUCCCAACAACACUACUGAACCCUAUACCCCAACCAAGCCCUCCUAUAAGACUAGAAAAGAUAAUGCUAAAAUGAGUAAUAAGAAAGCGGACUUUCUCCUGGGCGCCAGCCUACAUUCUACAUGACACCCUAUAAAUUAUUAACAGCCACUUCCCCGCCAUCAACCCUCAAACCAGAAGAAGGCCCCAUCUGUUAACCCAACACAGGAGCGCCACAGGAAAGGCUAAACCUUGCAAAAGGAACUCGGCAAACAAAGAUUCCGACUGUUUACCAAAAACACAGCCCCCAGCCCACCCAAUAUUGGAGGUGAUGCCUGCCCAAUGACUACUAGUUAAAUGGCCGCGGUAUCCACAACCGUGCAAAGGUAGCGUAAUCACUUGUUCUUUAAAUAAGGACCAGUAUGAACGGCUAAACGAGAAUCUAACUGUCUCCUGCAAGCAACCAAUGAAAUUGAUCUCCCUGUGCAAAAGCAGGAAUAAUAUCACCAGACGAGAAGACCCUGUGAAACUUAAACCAGCUAAGUCACACCAACAACACCAACCACAACAACCCACGCCCACCACUACUUGACUCAGCGCUUUUGGUUGGGGCGACCUUAAAACAAAGAAAAACUUUUGAGACAACCCAUAGCAAAGUUAGACUAUUAACCAAGAACUACACCUCAAAGUGCUUAAAUGUAAUUAGAUCCGACAAUGUCGAUCCACGAACCAAGCUACUCCAGGGAUAACAGCGCAAUCCCCCUCAAGAGCCCCUAUCGACAGGGGGGUUUACGACCUCGAUGUUGGAUCAGGACAUCCCACUGGUGUAACCGCUAUUAAGGGUUCGUUUGUUCAACGAUUAAAGUCCUACGUGAUCUGAGUUCAGACCGGAGCAAUCCAGGUCGGUUUCUAUCUAUGACUAUGUCUCUUCCCAGUACGAAAGGACCGGAAAAACAAGGCCCAUACCACCCAAGCACGCCUUACCUGUAACUCAAUGAAAACUACUAAAUCAGCAACCAGGAUUAAACUACCACUCAAAAUAAGAGCAC
rnacentral:rRNA from 1 species